rnacentral:rRNA from 1 species
GACGUAGGAGGCGAGCGUUAUCCGGAUUCACUGGGCGUAAAGCGCAUGUAGGCGGUUGCACAAGUCCGUUGUUAAAGCCCCUGGCUCAACUGGGGGAGGUCAAUGGAGACUGUGCGACUUGAGGGCAAUAGAGGCACGUGGAACUCCCGGUGUAGCGGUGGAAUGUGUAGAGAUCGGGAAGAACACCAGUGGCGAAGGCGACGUGCUGGGUUGCACCUGACGCUGAGAUGCGAAAGUGUGGGGAGCAAACGGG